UUAUAGUUGCGCAGGCACUUUGGUGACUCUAGAGAACUUCGGGCCAAUCACACUUCCCUGUGACGGCAAUGACGCAUUCGGAUGUCUGCCCUAUCAACUUUCGAUGCCACUUUCUGCGCCUACCAUGGUGACCACGGGUAACGGGGAAUCAGGGUUCGAUUCUGGAGAGGGAGCCUGAGAAACGGCUACCACAUCUAAGGAAGGCAGCAGGCGCGCAAAUUACCCACUCCCGAUGCGGGGAGGUAGUGACGA